CGGAUAAUUUAUUUCACAGCAUUGUGGAAUAAUGAAAGACGGAGCAAUCUGUCACUUGGGGAUGGGCCUGCGGCGCAUUAGCUAGUUGGGGGGGUAAUGGCUCACCAAGGCAACCAUGCGUAACCUACCUGAGAGGGUGAACGGCCUCGCUGGGACUGAGACACGGCACACACUCCUACGGGAGGCAGAAGUAGGGAAUCUUCCGGAAUGAACGAAAGACUGACGGAGCAACCCCGCGUGAGUGAUGAAGGUUUACGGAUCGUAUAGCUCUGUUGCCAAGAACGAACGUCUUCUAAAGUAACUGCUAGGAGAGUGACGGUUCUUGAGAAGAAAGCCCCGGCUAACUUGCUGCCAGCCGCGGCAGUAAUACGGAGGGGGCAAGCGUUGUCCAGAAUUGUUGGGCGUAAAGUGCGCGCAGGCUGUUCUUUAAGUCUGGUGAUUAAACCCGAUGCUCAACUUCGGGUCGUUCUAGACACUGGGGGACUUGUGUGCAAAAGAAGAGAGAGUAAUCUCGCGUGUAGCGGAGAAAUGCGUAGAUAUGUGGAGGCACCCCUGUGGAGAGAGCCUCUCUCUGGUGCUACAACUGACACUGAAGCGAG
rnacentral:rRNA from 1 species